rnacentral:misc_RNA from 1 species
GCUAAUGUUAAGAUUGUACAGGCGGCGAUUGGUGGAUGGCACUGUCUUGCUGUGGAUGAUCAAGGCCGAGCUUAUGCCUGGGGUGGUAAUGAAUAUGGUCAGUGUGGUGAAGAACCCGAGAAGAAAGAUGACACUGGUAGGCCACCGAGAAGAGAUAUAGCAAUUCCUCAACGAUGUGCUCCAAAGCUAAUAGUUCGUCAGGUUGCUGCAGGAGGUACACACUCUGUGGUACUUACACGUGA